rnacentral:lncRNA from 1 species
GAACAUGUUCUGUUUCCUGACGGCUAGUGGCACUCAGGACCAUACCUUCAAGAAUGAGCUCUACAUAUCCAUGAUGGCUGGCUUCGUCAGGAAAGAAUUAAAACGGUCCUCAGGAAUGAACCAAGAGAAAAUAAAAAUAUUAUUGGAAAGCGGUAUAUAUAUUCACAGCCACAUGCCAAAUCAUUUCACAUUCAUGCAUACACAAAGAUCAUAUAACCCUGUUUAAAAUCACAUCCAAUUCCUAGGUCACAAUGUACCCAUCCAAUUUAUUUAAAUCUGGUUAUUCACAAGAUCUACAUAUUCAUAUCCAAGUCAUGAUUCAUGGAGCCUUAACUUAACAGGAGGUGUCACCAAAUACGAAACACGCAUACUGGUUGAUUCCUAAAUUGCCAAGAGAAGCAAUUGACAAAGAAAGCCUACCUGCACCCUAUUUCACAAUAUUAACAACUAAUUAUACUACUGGAAUUUCUAAAUGUUGGAGUAGAACUAUGCUCAUGCACAUGAGUAGCAUGAGGAUGGUCUUCCAUCAUGGGAAGAUUCUGUUAAUGGAGUGCAUUCCCUUGGGCUUGGAAUGUUCCAUUCACCUAUACAAUAGAAAAAUAUAGGAGAUUUUAAUGAACAACGGUGAAAGGCAAAACUGUGAUAUGUACAAGCUUUCAAACCAAAAGGUAAACUACAGCUCAUGACUUUUCUUAUUACCAAGUAUAGGCUGCAAUUAAAUGUAACAUGAACAUAAUUAAAAAAAGGCAAGAAAAAUUAAAUGAUUGCCAUCCAAUGCCCUAUACCCAUAGUUUUUAUGGCAAAUGAAAAUUUUUCAUGACCAACCACCUUCACAACUUUACGUGGUAGCAAAAAAAUCAUCACUUCAUAGGAAAAAUCUAAGUAUGACAAGCACUAAACUGCAUGUACAGAACUAGCACUACAUGUAGAAAACUAGCAGUAAGCGUCAUAUUUAUAGCUUUGCAAUGCAAGUUCCGAACAUCGGUAGUUUAACAUUACUACAAGAACUUGCUGUAUCUCAAGUAAGGACAAAACAUGGGCAUGAGCUAAAACAGUUGGGGAGCCUAAACAAGCUGCAAGGUAAUCUGAAAAUUCAUCAUCUUGAAUAUGUCAAAAACAAGAAGGAAGCAGACGAUGCAAAGCUAGCUGAUAAGAAAAGACUAAUAUGACUGGAACUGUCCUGGGGUGGUUCCUUACAGACUUGCUCACCAGAAGUUCAAGUGGAGGUGCUCAAGGGCGUUCGCCCACCCAAGGGUCUUACAAGGCUAUGUCUCCAUCACCACUACGCCCAGUACCUGGAACGAUUUCUUCUCAGAAGCUAUAUUCAUGAAGGAAAUUAGAAUAACUGGAGACAUACUCAUAAAUGCAGUCCUUAGAUAUAAUAUUAAGAGUUUAAGACAAUGUUUUUUUGUUGCAAGAACACAUUAAUGAAAACUGACUGGAAUAGAAAUUAGAAACUCUAAAUGAUCUAUAAAUGGAUCUCACCAGUCAUAGUGAAUCAUUUCCUAAAAUUAUAAGCUAACAUGUACAGAGAACAUAUUUAAUUUUGUAUGACAACUUAAAUCAUGAACUAAGUUAUACUGACUACAUGGUUGCAGUACACAACCACUUAAGAAGGCAGCAACCACUAACUGAAAUACACAAACACUUGGGCAGCAUGAACAAGUUUACAAACCAAAAGGAAACUUCAGUUCACGACACACACAUGUUGUUAUCCACCAAGCAAGUGAAGAAGUCUUUUAUUAAAGCUAAGUGUAGGCUGCACUUAUGAAGAGCUAACAGGAACAUAAUGUACAAGGAAGAAAAGGAAAUAAAAUAAAUGUUUAUAAUCCAAUCCAAACUGAAAGCCAAGACCAUGCACCUUUCGUACUUGAACUUGCUCCUCUACUUGUUGAGGUUGUCAAAUAUUUUAAUACAUGAAUAAAAUGUCAAUACCAUGAAGGGGAGCCUUGGCGCAGUGGUAAAGCUGCUGCCUUGUGACCAUGAGGUCAUGGGUUCAAGUCCUGGAAACAGCCUCUUACAGAAAUGUAGGGAAAGGCUGCGUACUAUAGACCCAAAGUGGUCGGACCCUUCCCUGGACCCUGCGCAAGCGGGAGCUACAUGCACCAGGUUGCCCUUUUUAAUAAAAUGUCAAUGCCAUGCACAUUCGAAACCAUUCCAGCUUGCUAUAUAGCAUCUAUAGUGCGACAAACAGUUAGGUUUAUGUGCAAAUCAUCAACAAGACCUAUAGCACAAUCAGAGCAAAUAUGUGUAAAAGACAUAUAUAUGCAGUUGUGCACUGCACUGGCACUACACUACAAGGACAGAACUAGCACCACAUUUACACAGAAAGAAACAGAGCAGCACAUAAGCAAGCAGCAACCACUAAUUGAAAUACACAGGCACUGAUUAAAUAGAUUGUUUCAUAUCAUAAAUUAUUAACACAUGAACUAGUUUAAUGCAUCCCUGUUUUGAUGACACCACAAUCUUACAUGCACUAUACUACAUUGCUCUACUUGUAUAAUUCAGCUGCAGUUUACUUUGCUAACCAUAGAAGUAACAUGAUCACAACCAUUGUUAAGUUUGUGCAUAGAGGAAUUGGGGAUCAUAACAACAACUUACCGUAUCACUAUCAUCCAUCUUCUAAUCUUGAAAAGGAAGAAGCUCUUGGGUAUUUCUUAUCCAUCUUGCUAUAUACCAACUAUAGUGCAACAAAUGGUAUAUAUCCUGUCUUGGGGUAGAACCAUGCUCAUCCAGAUGAGUAGCAUGAACAUGGCCUUCAGCAUGGGAAGGAUCUGCCAGCAGAGUACCGGCAUCCUCUUGGGCUUGGAAGGAUCAAUUCACCUACAAUGGAAAAGAAUAUAGCAUAUUUCAAUGAACAAUGGUGAAAGGCAAAACUGUAAUAUAUGUAUACAAGUUUUCAAACACAAAGGUAAACUCCAGCUCAUGACACACAUGCUAUUAGUCACCAAACAAAUGAAAAGGUCUUUUCUUGGUGCCAAGUGCAGACUGCAACUAUGAAGAAGUACCAGGAACAUAACUUUGAAGAUCGAGAUGACGUUCCUUCCAAUAUGCUGGAUGUGCGUCUUGAAGAUGCUUUGUGGUGGGUUCUUCUGAAACCAUGGACAUAGCAUGUCGCUUUAAUUUCAGAUUAACAAUAAUUGUAGUGUUCAAGUUUGUUGCUGCUGCAGGCCCAUACUUUCUUUCCUACAUAUGAAAACAUGCUCUUUCAACAAACUUUCCAUGAGUGGAACUUACCAACAUGCCUGGAUUGGACUUCUUGAUCGAGAGGGUUGUGGUGUGGCAAUGUCACUUCUCAAACUUGGCCUUUGUAGCGCUACAACUUCCUGAUUUUGUAAGACCUUCAAUGAAGAGAAAACAAUAAAGCAUGCAUACGUAAACUGCACCUUCCUGAACAGGGGGCAUAACCUACAGCUUGCAGGUAUUGACAUGCAUACAGAUAUGUAUCACAACUCAUCAAUGAGACCAAUUGAGGAACAACCCGAUUUAAUGUAUGCACAAACUUAAAAUUGCGCAGCACACUACCUAGAUAGAUGGUGACUAUAAUACCCCAUGGCUGUUGCACUCAAUCCUUUCAGAAGAACAACAAAACAUCAUUGUUUUAAUCUCAAUAAGAGUGUACUAAACAAUGAACAUAUUGCUGCAGCACAUGUAAAUUAUUUGGAAUAGAAAUAGAUGGGGAGGGGGGAGGAGAAGACGGGCACUCACUGGUCGGGGAGGGAGCCACCUCCACACGGCGACGGAGGUGGAUCUGGAAGUUCGCCGGCCAGGGACGCGGAUCUGGAAGUUCGCCGGCCAGGGAGGCGGAUCUGGAAGUCGCCGGCGAUGGGGGCCGCGCUAGAUGGGGAGGGAGGCUGUGCUGGAGGCGUGGAGUCGGUGCUCAACGGCGAUGUGGGCGGCGCUCGAUGGGGAGGGAGUCGGCGGAUCAGAACUGGACGGUGGACACGGGGGCAAGCGGCGGCGCUGGUCGUGGGAGUGGGAGGAGCAGACCGAUGGGGGAAGACCGGACCCUGUUUUAGGGAUUUUGACCAAGCGCUCCACACGUGACCACAGCCACGCGGAAAUAUCCGAUAUCCGCG